CAGAGGGUGCAAACGUUGUUCGGAAUUACUGGGCGUAAAGCGCGUGUAGGCGGCAGCGUGUGUCGGGCGUGAAAUCCCAUGGCUCAACCAUGGAAGUGCACCCGAAACUGCGCAGCUAGAGUCCUGGAGAGGAAGGUGGAAUACUUGGUGUAGAGGUGAAAUUCGUAGAUAUCAAGUGGAACACCGGUGGCGAAGGCGGCCUUCUGGACAGUGACUGACGCUGAGACGCGAAAGCGUGGGGAGCAAACAGGAUUAGAUACCCUGGUAGUCCACGCCGUAAACGAUGAGUGCUAGGUGUCACGGGCUUUGACCCUCGUGGUGCCGAAGCUAACGCGUUAAGCACUCCGCCUGGGGAGUACGGCCGCAAGGCUA
rnacentral:rRNA from 1 species